CUAUUGGGAUGAGACGCUGGAGAAAAUGCCAUGGUCGUAGAAUCUCCCUUCCCAAUUUUAGAACAUCCCUUGAAGUUCAUCAUGGUGCCCACGGAAAACGGUGAAGCUUAAAGAAUUGUUCCAAAAGAAAGGGACACCCCCUGGGACAUAACAUAACUGGUACAUGUGAGGGAGCCCAUAGAAUUGGAAUUGAUCACUAGAGGGCAAAGGCACUCCAACAGACGACUCCUUACGGCAUUUCACUAUUUAUCAGCGGCGGCCUAGGUAUUUUCUCCCUGAAUGGGUAGAAUUAGUAGACUCCCCGAUAAAACCUAGUUAGUGGCCACAAAAUUUCGCCACCGGAAGAUACAGAAUCGGCCCAAAAUGAAAAGAGGAAGAUCUGGAAGCAUAGCUAUCAACAAUCACAACACAGAGGUGUUCUGAAAUAUUAAACAAGUUGGGCGCUGCUGUUGCCCAAGAGAUAAAUUUGGCGUGGGGUGUCAAAGAUGACUUGCAAAAGCUUCAAAGAACCUUACAGGUGAUCGCGGCUGUAAUUGCUGACGCGGAGAAUAGGCAAGAGAUGGAAGAACUUGUUCGGCUUUGGCUGGUGAGGCUCAAGGAUGUAGCUUAUGACGCGGAUGAUGUGAUGGAUGAGUUUUCAUAUGAAACCAUUCGUCGAGGUGAAAGGGGGGACCGCGUGAAGGAUAAGGUUCGUGAUUUCGUCUCCUCUUCUAAUCCACUAGUAUUUCGUUUCAAGAUGGCAAACAAAAUUAAAGAUGUCAACCGAAGUUUAGAUGAAAUUACCAAAGAUAUGGCUAGGUUUCAGUUACAAACUACAUCACCUAGCAAUACUAUUAAUGCUCAUGGUGGAAGUAGUGAGCAACGGAGCCGACAAACCACAUCUUUGGUGAACGAGUCAAAAAUUAUAGGAAGGGAGGAUGAUAAAAAGGAAAUAAUAAGAUUGUUAACAACUCUCACUGCGUCGUCAUCAUCUGGCAGUUAUAAUCCACAUCAUGAAAAUAUCUCUGUAGUUUCCAUCGUGGGGAUGGGUGGAGUCGGAAAAACUACACUAGCCCAAUUCGUUUACAAGGACAAAUUGGUAGAAAACCACUUUGAUCAAAGAAUAUGGGUCUUUGUUUCCAAGGAUUUUGAUGUCAAAACCAUUUUAAUAAAAAUUAUGGAGUCCAUUACUGAAGCUAAGUUUGAAAAUCUUUCAAAUUUGGAUGUCUUAGUGAAUGAAGUUCAAAAAAAGUUGAAGGGGAAGAAAUAUCUUCUAGUACUGGAUGAUGUAUGGAAUGACCGUUACGAGGAAUGGGAGGAGCUUAAAACUCCGUUGCUCGUUGGUGCUCAAGGAAGUAAGAUAUUAAUCACUACACGUGAAAACCAGGUCGCUGAUGUUGUAAAUGGGAGUAUUCCUUCGUACAGAUUGGAAAAUUUACAAGAGGAUGAAUGUUGGUCUAUUAUGGAGAAUGAAGCCUUUUCCCCUGGUGGAGCUCUAAAAACACCAAACAUGACUAACAUAGGAAAAGAGAUUUCAAAAAAAUGUGGUGGUUUGCCCCUUGCAGCAAAAAUACUAGGAAGUCUAAUGCGCUUAAAAAAUAAUGAAGGUGAUUGGCUAUCAAUUAAAGAAAACAGUAUUUUGGAUACUCCAGAAGGUCAAAGUAGAAUCAUGCCGAUACUUAAAUUGAGCUAUGAUAACUUGACAUCUCAGUUGAGACAAUGUUUCUCCUACUGCUCCAUCUUUCCCAAAGGUUUGGAGAUAAACAGAGAAACUUUGAUUCAACUGUGGAAUGCCGAAGGCUUCCUGGAGUCAUCUAAUGUGGGGAGCAAAAAAUCGAGAGAAGACAUUGGAAACGAGUAUUUCGUAAGUUUGGUGCGGAGCUCAUUUUUGGAUGUCAAGGAAAUGAAUGACUUGGAUGACAUAAGGUCGUGCACUAUGCAUGACCUUGUACAUGAUCUUGCUCAGAGUGUUGUAGGAAAUCAUGAAUGUGCGAUUGUCAGUGUCAGUGAACUGAUGAAUAUUCCUAGAGUUCGUCGCUUACAGUUGAUAGUUGAUGAAGCCUUAUCUGCAGCAUUUUCAGUAACCAUAAAUAGUGCAAAGAAGUUGCGAACAGUCAUCAUCCUUGAUUCACCUUAUUACGAGUUGGACCCCAAUAGAUUCUCCAAAAGUAAGCGGUUACGUGUUUUAUAUUUGGAUAGUCUAACUAAAGCCUUGUCACCAUUGUCAUCUUGGAGUCCUAAACUAAAGCAUUUAAGGUACCUUAACCUUUCGUCUUUCGAUCUUAGUGAAACUCCCAAUCAUAAUUCCAUCAACAAACUUUAUAAUCUGCAGACGUUGGUAUUAUGCGAGUGUCGCCAUGUACAAGAUUUUCUCAAAAACAUAGAAUCUUUGAAAAAACUGAGACACCUUAAUAUCACUCUCACGGAUAUUAAAGAACUACCUGAUUCUGUCACUAGCCUCUGUAAUUUGCAGAGGUUGGAUCUGCAAAAAUGCAAUAGCUUCACUUCUUUUCCCAACUCCAUAAAUGGUCUAGAAUAUCUAAGAUUUCUUGAUCUGUCAUUUACACCUAUUGAAGAAUUACCUGAUUCUAUCACUAGCCUCCACCAUUUGCAGACAUUAGAUAUCAACAGUUGCCAGAAAUUGAAAGCCUUACCCAAGUAUGUCAAAGGCCUUGAGGAACUGAGAAUAUUUAAUUUCAGAGACUGCACCCUACUAGAAGCAUUACCUGAAGAUUUUGGUUUGUUGACACAGUUAAGGUCCCUUGACCUAUUUGGUACUAAGAUCAAAGUGUUACUGGAGUCAUGUGCUAAUCUCAACAAUCUCGAGUUUGUGGAUCUCUCCUUCUGUGAGCUUCCUAAAGAGGUAACUAACUGGAAAAAGCUGAAAUAUUUUAUCUACGGGAAAGAGGGAGCACCAGUGGGUAUUGGAGAACUAGUUUAUCUUCGCGAAUUGUCUUAUUCAGUAAAUAGCAAUACUGAUAUUAAUGCUGGUAUUGAAGAGUUGAGGAACCUAAACCUUCUCGAGGAAAUAACUAUUUAUGAUCUUGAGAACGUGGAAGACCCAGUAGACGCUGAAGAAUCAAAUUUGAAAGGGAAAGAAAAACUUCGUCGUUUGUAUCUAGAAUGGGGUGAAAAGGGGUUUGACCAUCUGUAUUGUAGUCGCAGUAGUCUGGUUCUAGAAGCUCUGCAACCUCACACUAACCUGAAAACCUUUAGUAUUCAUAACUUUAUGGGUUGGGACCUCCCAACCUGGAUGCAUGUUUCAAGUGGUCUUCCAAAUUUGGAAUUUUUGGAAAUCUUCAACUGCAAAAGGACUGAACAACUUCCAGAGGCUAUGGGGCAGCUCCCACGUCUCAAGUCUCUCCAUCUAUCCGAUGUAUCUUUGAACUAUUUGGGUAUGGGAUUUCCUUCGCUGGUUGAACUCCAUCUAACGGAUAUGUCAUAUCUACAAGAAUUGUGUUCCUCAUAUCCUUGUCUUCGGGAUCUAAGAAUCACUGGCUGCAGAAGUUUGACCAAGAUUCCUUCAUUUCCUUGUCUUGAGUUCUUACUGUUAAAGGAGGUCGACCACAGCUUAGUAAGCUCAGUUGGGAUAAGCCAGACUUCUAUCACAACCCUUUUUUUACACAAUGUCGAAGAGCUUAUAUACUUCCCGUUAAACAUACUCCGAAGGAAUUGUAAUCUUCAAAUUCUGCAAAUUAGAGAGUGCAAUCAGUUUCAAGGAUUUCGAGUAAAUGAUAAUGAGAAGGAGACUGCAUCAUUUCUAUUUGGCUCCGAACUCGACUGCGUCUCUCUUCAACGCCUGGAUUUGAUAGAUUGCCCAGACUUAAAGUUUCUUCCAGAUUUACAGAGGUGGACUUCGCUCUGGAUAUUAUUCAUCUGGAAUUGCCCCAAUCUGAGGAACUACUCAACUUAUGAUCUGAAAUCGUUGUCCAGCCUAAAAGAACUAUAUGUUGAUUAUAUUCAAAGAGACGAGCAGCGGGGAGAUCCAUCUGUUCAUGCAGAAUUGGUUAAUUUGAUAAAUUAAAGGGAACCAGACAAAAAACGCAGUUUGAGACUCGGACACUACUACCUGAUCAAAUAUGAGAACCAGACCUCUACCAACGAUUCCCAGUUGUUAUGUGUACAAUAGUGCAAUUAACGGACCUUCACAACACAUAUGACUUUGCGAAGAAGUAAAUGAUCAUUACAAAGCUGAUCCGAAUGAGUUUUCAAUAAUUUAGUGUCCUGGCAUAUUCCCAUAAAAACGGAACCCAAAGGAUCUUUGCUGCGAGAGUUGGAUCAUUUCCAUUUUGCUUACUAGACAGUACAAGCACUGUCUGUCCACCUCAGAGCUGAGAUGUUGCAACUUUUCUGUAUUUUGUGUGCUUCUAUUGUAAUCAAUGUCGAUAUAUGCAACCUCUUUUUUCUCUUUUUUCCCCACCGCAAAGCAGAGAUUCGAACC